rnacentral:rRNA from 1 species
CGAACGCUGGCGGCGUGCCUAAUACAUGCAAGUCGAACGCACUCUCGUUUAGAUUGAAGGAGUUUGCUCCUGAUUGAUAAACAUUUGAGUGAGUGGCGGACGGGUGAGUAACACGUGGGUAACCUGCCCUAAAGUGGGGGAUAACAUUUGGAAACAGAUGCUAAUACCGCAUAAAACCUAACACCGCAUGGUGUAGGGUUGAAAGAUGGUUUCGGCUAUCACUUUAGGAUGGACCCGCGGUGCAUUAGUUAGUUGGUGAGGUAAAGGUUCACCAAGACCGUGAUGCAUAGCCGACCUGAGAGGGUAAUCGGCCACACUGGGACUGAGACACGGCCCAGACUCCUACGGGAGGCAGCAGUAGGGAAUCUUCCACAAUGGACGAAAGUCUGAUGGAGCAACGCCGCGUGAGUGAAGAAGGUUUUCGGAUCGUAAAACUCUGUUGUUGGAGAAGAAUGUAUCUGAUAGUAACUGAUCAGGUAGUGACGGUAUCCAACCAGAAAGCCACGGCUAACUACGUG